CCUACGGGUGGCAGCAGUGAGGAAUAUUGGUCAAUGACCCGAAGGCUGACCCAGCAAUGCCUCUUGAAGGUCACUGCCCUAUGAGCGUUAAACUUCUUUUGUUCGAGAGCAAUCCUUGUCACGUGUGGCCCUCCGAGAUUACCGUACGAAUAAGCAUCGGCUAACUCCGUGCCAGCAGCCGCGGUAAUACGGGGGAUGCAAGCGUUAUCCGGAUUUAUUGGGUUGAAAGGGUGCGUAGGCUGUGAGGUAAGUCAGCGGUGAAAUGCCCCCGCUCAACGGGGUGAAGUGCCAUUGAUCCUGCUGGGCUGGAAUGCGGAUGCCGUGGGAGGAAUGUGUGGUGUAGCGGUGAAAUGCAUAGAGAUCACACAGAACACCGAUUGCGAAGGCAUCUCACGAAGCCGCGAUUGACGCUGAUGCACGAAAGCGUGGGUAUCAAACAGGAUUAGAUACCCGGGUAGUC
rnacentral:rRNA from 1 species